rnacentral:tRNA from 1 species
GGGAAGGUGGCUCAGUGGUAGAGUGCUUGCCUUGCAUGCAUGAGGACCUGGGUUCGAUUCCUCAGCCCUA